UAGCUCAGUGGUAGAGUAUUUGCCUACUAUGCACAAGGCCCUGGGUUCGAAUCCCAC
rnacentral:tRNA from 1 species